UGACGUGAUUGUGCCCAAUGAAACAGGAGGCCUCGAUUCGUGCAGAAGAUAAGGUUUGAAACCCAGACAGCACGAAGCAUCUUGCCGACGUCAAAAUCAGAUCAACAGACAGGGACAUCAGCCUUCUCUUGGGAAUAGGCCAGAUAUGCCAGAACAAGAAAUGUCUAUAUCUUGGACUGAAAAAGGAUGCUUUGCCCCUGCGGUUGUGAAGAGGAUGCUGUGGAGGUGGCAGCAUGAACGUGUCACACAGACAUUGGCUAAACUACUCGGCUUCUACACUUGCCCUCAGAGUUCACAUAUGGUGAAGUGCACAGGUGUCCAGUCAGGUUCAGACUGAUGCUGGUAACAAGAGGAAAACAUGCUAAUUGGUAAGUGAGAUCCCUGCUCAACAAAAAUCCACACAGCACAACAAGUAAGCCUAGUUUGUGGUAUCAAAUGUAAAAUGGAAGUUUCAUCAAAAAGUUGUAGAACACAUCUGAAUAAAUUGCAGGCCAUCAAAGUUGUGAAUGGGCAGGGAAAACACAACCAGUAGGCUUAUGAAUUACUUUGACUCAGCACAGCACAGCAGAUGCGAUGCUACCAUUCCUUGGGAAUAUGACACAGAGGUCUACUAUUCCAUUGUAAAUAUUGACUGGAAAUGUUCAUGUUUCAACUGUUUUAAAAACAUUGGACUCAGGGGAAAAAAUCUCUAGGUGUAUAUAAGUGAAAGCCCACCUUUGCCAUUGUGACACAGCACACAAGUAUACACUGCACACAACGAAAUUGCAUUUUAUGCCUCACCUGUGCAAGGGUGCAGCCUACAUUGGCAUCCCAAGGGAGCAGUAUGUUGCAGUGUGGCGGGAAGGUACCAUACUUGGGGUACCUCAGUCAUGGAGGAUGGUGGAGAGAGCACUGGUUAAUUACUCCCUCCACCAACCUGGCGGGCUGGGAGAUGAACCAGCAACCUUUGGGUUGUUCAGCCCUGGGCUACAGGACACCCUAACCGCUUACCAAUGACUGCCCCACUUAUCCUUGACUGUAUAUAAAAAAU